UGAGGAAUAUUGCGCAAUGGGGGCAACCCUGACGCAGCAACGCCGCGUGAGUGAGGAAGGUUUUCGGACCGUAAAGCUCUGUCGAGUGGGAAGAAGUGUAUCAUGGCUAAUAUCCGUGAUAUUUGACGGUACCGCUAGAGGAAGCACCGGCUAACUCCGUGCCAGCAGCCGCGGUAAUACGGGGGGUGCAAGCGUUGUUCGGAAUUAUUGGGCGUAAAGAGCGUGUAGGCGGCCGAGCAAGUCAGAUGUGAAAUCCCCGGGCUUAACCCGGGAAGUGCAUUUGAAACUGCUAGGCUUGAGUAGGGGAGAGGAAAGUGGAAUUCCUGGUGUAGAGGUGAAAUUCGUAGAUAUCAGGAGGAACACCGGUGGCGAAGGCGACUUUCUGGCCCUAUACUGACGC
rnacentral:rRNA from 1 species